UGCCACGUAACCUGCCUGAGCCUAGGACUAGUAACUUGUUUUUAAAUUCGCCAGCAUCGGUGGCAAAUGGGUGUGAAAAUAUUGUAACUCAUUUGUAUGCCUUAUAAAUAGGUAUGCAACAAGCUGAAGCCACCCCACAUAAAUGUUAUGCACCGGUUUCCUGAGUAGGACCAACGGCGUGUACUUGCCCUGCACUUUAUAGAUUUCCCUGGUUUUCUUUAAGCAGCGAUCUUGGAGGAUGCAAGGUUAAACUAAAGGAGAAAUGACAUGGCAAUUCAUUAAAAAAGCUUGUGGCUAGUGCCUUAAAUAUGUACAUUAUUUGUGAAACCCAAAUCUUUGCGUGCUCUCUUAAAGUGUUGUCAAAACGAAACCAAACAAUCUUAAGAUCUGACAAGAGUGCGGUUCAGUAGGAAAUCAAUGGGAAGCCACUCGAGCAUUGAAUCUGUGGAACUACCGUUUAGCUGUUAUCGAAAAUAGUUCCCCGAAACAAACAUUAACUCGAAGUGGAACUGCAAAAUGUGCUGGAAAGGAGCAUCCCACUUGAAAAUGCAAAUGCAACGGGAAAUGACCGAAAGACUGAAGGACCACCCAAGUGCCCAUAGGUUGGUUAAGUUUAGUGGGGUAUACAAUAAACUUCUUAGUAAAAUGUGA